GAUGAACGCUGGCGGCGUGCCUAAUACAUGCAAGUCGAGCGAACAGAUAAGGAGCUUGCUCCUUUGACGUUAGCGGCGGACGGGUGAGUAACACGUGGGUAACCUACCUAUAAGACUGGGAUAACUUCGGGAAACCGGAGCUAAUACCGGAUAAUAUUUCGAACCGCAUGGUUCGAUAGUGAAAGAUGGUUUUGCUAUCACUUAUAGAUGGACCCGCGCCGUAUUAGCUAGUUGGUAAGGUAACGGCUUACCAAGGCGACGAUACGUAGCCGACCUGAGAGGAUGAUCAGCCACACUGGAACUGAGACACGGUCCAGACUCCUACGGGAGGCAGCAGUAGGGAAUCUUCCGCAAUGGGCGAAAGCCUGACGGAGCAACGCCGCGUGAGUGAUGAAGGUCUUCGGAUCGUAAAACUCUGUUAUUAGGGAAGAACAUACGUGUAGGUAACUGUGCACGUCUUGACGGUACCUAAUCAGAAAGCCACGGCUAACUACGUG
rnacentral:rRNA from 1 species